UGAUUCAUAACUGCCUUCCACUAUACAGUGUGGAUUGCAAAUAAAAAUAACCAGGAUUACUGCUAGACAUUAUCUGAAUUCUUCCUAGCAGCACCGUGGCCUAAGUCAGUGACACUGCAAACAUUUUAUUUUUCCUCUUGCAGUAUCAGUGUCCUUUUCAUGGACUUUAAACAGCUGAAACAGGCGUUUCAGGGUAUGACUCACCUGAGAUGCUUGAUAUGAGAGCGAGAGUCUGUGUUGUACAGGAGGAUUUCCAUCUGCAGCUAUUUCAAUCAUGCAGUACCCUUCAGGACUGCUAACAGGCAACAUAUAGCUGGAAGGAAACAGAAGAUCUCAUUACUGUUUAUGCCACUGACAGAGGAGUAUUCGAAUCUCAUACAGCAAAAGCAAGGUGAAAAAGAUGCUUCUGCUUCCAUUAGGGAUGACAGUCUUUGGACAAUAUGAAUUCUAGUUUUAUGGCUACAUGGACUAUCCAGGAGACAAAAGAUUGAGUGCACUAGCCUGAAGAGGACUUUCUGCUGGUAGUUCAUUUCUCAGCUAUUUGAUGGGAGCACAGCUUCAAAAAAGCAGCAGCAGAAGCAGGAGUUGUGCUGCUUCUGAAGGAGCACAGCUGACAACAGCAGCUUCUCUUUUGAAGCUGUCAGAAAGGAAGAAAGAUGGAGCAAGGAGCAAAAAACAGGGAUGAAGGAAGAACAGAGGGAGCAUAUGAACUCAUGAAAGGUAUUAUGUUUAUCUGACAGAACUACAGAAGAUCUUGGUGCCUGCACACAGAAAUAAUAGAUUACAAAGCUCUGGAUAACCUAUACAGGAUCAAUUUUUCCUUUACAAAUUCAUAGAGUGUUAAUAUACACACACAAAAAGUAAAAAAAAAUAAAUUGAGAGAUAUUUAUUUUACAUGAAUAUAAUAUUGUAUUUUACAUUCAAGCAAAAUUCAAUAGGGAUAUUGAUAAGGACACUCAAAUUACCAGAGAAACAUAGAACCAAAAAAUAAAAAGCAAAAACAAGGGAAAGACACUGGUGACAAGAGGAAAGAUACUAUAGAAAAGAGGAGGACAGUUUAAAUGUAAAGCAAAGAUAUAAUUGACAUUAAAUACCGGAGUGCCAGAGUUCUACAGUACAUGUAGGCCUCUCCUGCUUUAUGUAUUUGGUUUAACAGACAGAAGGAGAUCCAGAUCUUUUUUUUAAUCUUAGCAAAACCUAACCUUAGAAGAAAGCUUUAUGGCCACUGAAAGAGUGGAAUCCAGUAGGACUUGUAAAGCUCUGUUUUAGGAAUAGCAAGGGAAACAGGAAUGCAAGUUACUGCAAGCCAAUGGAAAAAAAAAAA